UAUAAGUGUAGUUACGGGUUUCCGGAUCUAAUAUAUAAUCGUCCGUCUUACUUAAAAAAUAUAUAUAAUUAGUACUUUAUUGUUAUUAGAUGAUAACAUAUGAAUAAUAAUUAAUGUGUGACUAUUUUUUUUUAUAUUUUCACAAAUUUUUCAAAUAAGACAAACGGUCAAAUAUUGGAUACAUUGGAUAUUGAAACCCACGACUGCACUUUGA
rfam:Oryza meridionalis cultivar OR44 (W2112) chromosome 2, whole genome shotgun sequence.